GCAGACGAUAAAUCCUUUUCAUCCUGUCAAACAAACAUAAUAAGAUAUGGUUACGAAUAAAAUGUUGAGGACCAUCAGAUCUCAUUAAUGAUUUCAAGAACGGUCAUAGAUGACAAGUAAAGAUUUCAGAGGAUGAAAAAUCGAGAAAAUCUGGGUCUUUUUAAACGACUUCUCUCCUUACUCACAAUUGCAAAAAUUUCCAGACUCAAUAAAAAAUUUCACUUUUUGUUGUCAAAAUGACGAGAGUUGAGCACAGCUCUCACAUCUGACGAGAGGACACGGAAAUAAAUGGAUUUGAAAAUUAUGUAGAGUUGAAACAAUUACAAAAUAUCAAACCUGUAACCAUCAAAUAGCCAAAUGGCCGUUUCUUCAAAUGGAGCUUUUUAAUAUAUCGUAAGGAAAAAUGUCUCCCAACUUUUGGGUUUCUCUCAGAAUUUUGUUGACUUAGCUAGUAACUCUUGCCAGCGGGCAGCGAAAAUUUUGAAAAUUUAAGUUUAUUAAGACGUACCUGACGUCUAUUAUGUCGCAGGACAGAUUAAACCCUUUGGCUGUCUUAUCUAUCUAUCUAUUGUUAUCACAAACUUGAUUAAAAAUGUAUUUUUUAAAUCCUACAAAUUCUUAUCGCCCUCGUCUGUACGCACAGGACGUCAAAACACCUAAAGCCGGCGCUGCUUCAAUAUCAUACUAUUUUCUUGUUGUAAAUUAUGUGAGGGGUUUAAUUUGGGUUCUUACAUCGCUCAUAUCACCAACAUCCAAGUUUUUACUAUCCACCAUACUUCCAUUUGUGUCUGCCGAACCUAGUGCACCUGGAGGACCGGCAUUCACUGGGGUCCACGGAGAUGGUAUGGUGCCGGGUCCGA